rnacentral:rRNA from 1 species
GCAAGUCGAGCGCGAAAGUUCCUUCGGGGACGAGUAGAGCGGCGAAAGGGUGAGUAAUGCUUGGGCAACUUACCUCCUGGACUGGGAUAGCCACUGGAAACGGUGGGUAAUACCGGAUGGUCCCGACGUGACUGCGGUCGCGUUGGGUAAAGGUGGGGAUCUUCGGACCUGCCACCGGGAGAGAGGCUCGAGUCGUACCAGCUUGUUGGUGGGGUAAUGGCCCACCAAGGCGAAGACGCGUAGCCGGACUGAGAGGUCGAUC